AUGAAAUGGUGGAUAUAGAGUCUGAAUAACUCAUAAACUGUGUGUUGUCAUCAGCUUCUACCCUAGAAUUUUCACGGGUUUGGAGUUAAAUAACAGCACUAGAUUU